rfam:Homo sapiens chromosome 8, GRCh38 reference primary assembly.
GGCACUGUAGUUUGGAUUGAGAAACACAGGCUUUAGAGGCAGAAGUUCUGGGUUCAAACCCAGCAUUGCCA